UGAAGUUUCCCUCAGGAUAGCUGGAGUACGUAAUAAAGCAGUUAUAUUCGGUAAAGCGAAUUGAUUAGAGGAAUUGUGGGACGAAACGCAUUCAACCUGUUCUCAAACUUCCAAUGAGUAUUGCGUCUUGCUUGCUUGAAUGAAGCGUAGACAUCGAAUGUGUGCUCCAAGUGGGCCAUUUCUGGUAGCAGAACUGGCGCUCUGGGAUGAACCGAAUGUUGAGUUAAAGUAUGAAUACAUAGAAAUUAUCUGUAUUUAAUCACUAUAAUAAGACCAUUUAUAAAGCAGCAA
rnacentral:ncRNA from 1 species